GGGUUGUGAGGUUAAGCGACUAAGCGUACACGGUGGAUGCCCUGGCAGUCAGAGGCGAUGAAGGGCGUGCUAAUCUGCGAUAAGCGCCGGUAAGGUGAUAUGAACCGUUAUAACCGGCGAUACCCGAAUGGGGAAACCCAGUGUGAUUCGUCACACUAUCAUUAACUGAAUCCAUAGGUUAAUGAGGCGAACCGGGGGAACUGAAACAUCUAAGUACCCCGAGGAAAAGAAAUCAACCGAGAUUCCCCCAGUAGCGGCGAGCGAACGGGGAGGAGCCCAGAGCCUGAAUCAGCAUGUGUGUUAGUGGAAGCGUCUGGAAAGGCGCGCGAUACAGGGUGACAGCCCCGUACACAAAAGCGCAUGUGCUGUGAGCUCGAUGAGUAGGGCGGGACACGUGAUAUCCUGUCUGAAUAUGGGGGGACCAUCCUCCAAGGCUAAAUACUCCUGACUGACCGAUAGUGAACCAGUACCGUGAGGGAAAGGCGAAAAGAACCCCGGCGAGGGGAGUGAAAAAGAACCUGAAACCGUGUACGUACAAGCAGUGGGAGCACAGGUUUACCUGUGUGACUGCGUACCUUUUGUAUAAUGGGUCAGCGACUUAUAUUCUGUAGCAAGGUUAACCGAAUAGGGGAGCCGGAGGGAAACCGAGUCUUAACCGGGCGUUAAGUUGCAGGGUAUAGACCCGAAACCCGGUGAUCUAGCCAUGGGCAGGUUGAAGGUUGGGUAACACUAACUGGAGGACCGAACCGACUAAUGUUGAAAAAUUAGCGGAUGACCUGUGGCUGGGGGUGAAAGGCCAAUCAAACCGGGAGAUAGCUGGUUCUCCCCGAAAGCUAUUUAGGUAGCGCCUCGUGAAUUCAUCUCCGGGGGUAGAGCACUGUUUCGGCUAGGGGGCCAUCCCGGCUUACCAACCCGAUGCAAACUGCGAAUACCGGAGAAUGUUAUCACGGGAGACACACGGCGGGUGCUAACGUCCGUCGUGAAGAGGGAAACAACCCAGACCGCCAGCUAAGGUCCCAAAGUCAUGGUUAAGUGGGAAACGAUGUGGGAAGGCCCAGACAGCCAGGAUGUUGGCUUAGAAGCAGCCAUCAUUUAAAGAAAGCGUAAUAGCUCACUGGUCGAGUCGGCCUGCGCGGAAGAUGUAACGGGGCUAAACCAUGCACCGAAGCUGCGGCAGCGAACGUAUCACUUAAAGCGAUUCAGCGGGUUACGAUUGACGGAGCGAAGCGACGUCAAAGCGUAUACAAAGUCGAGUCGGUUUAAGGAUACGUUCGUUGGGUAGGGGAGCGUUCUGUAAGCCUGUGAAGGUGUGUCGUGAGGCAUGCUGGAGGUAUCAGAAGUGCGAAUGCUGACAUAAGUAACGAUAAAGCGGGUGAAAAGCCCGCUCGCCGGAAGACCAA
rnacentral:rRNA from 2 species